UAUUUCCAUCUUGCUGGGGUGGCCGUCACUUCUGCCACCCUCAACCCCUGGAUGGCCUGACACCAUCAUUUGCAGAGGCCUGUCAGGAUGUGCCAACAUCCUAAUUGUGCUACUCCCUUGCUUUGUACCUUCCAAGAGAAACUGCCCUUUAGCCCACCCCCAAGGCCCUCCCUAUAAUGCACACACCUCAUACCCGCACACCUUCUGAAGGAAUGCAACUCUUGAGGACACAGGGUGCCAGCGUCACAGAGGAGCCCCCACUUCCAGCAACACACUCGUCUUGCUUCUCACUGACAAGUCUGACUCUCCCACCUGGGUCAACGUGCCUUCCAGUCGUGUUUAUUUGUCUUGAAGGCUUGGUGAAAAUCCUUAAUUCAGGUUACUAGGCAACCCUGCAGGUGAGAAAAUAUAAUGUUUGGCUGACUCCAUUUUUUGAAUGCACACAGUGGCCUAAUGCCUUCAAAAUAGACUGCAAAGCGUGUGCUGAUGAUUCUCUGCUACGUUCUCUAAAGGCGAGGUCAGAAGAAAAUUAAUUGAUGCUGAAAAUAAUGACAGAAGGAGAGGCACCACUGAGACUUGGUGUGACUGGCAUGUGAUAAUGUUAGCAAGAAUCUCAGCAUGUGACUGGACAGUGUGAUGAAAAAUAUACCCUGUGAGAGGGAAAAACAACUUACAAAACUUAAUUAGUUUUUGACACUUCUUCAUAAGUUAUUAUCUUUUCAUUUGGAGCAUUGCCUUGGGACAUCAAUACACAAGAAGAAAUGAAACAUUCUUAUUGUAAAUAUGAAAGAAAGAUGACUUUAUAUCGUGCCUCUCCCCUUUACAUGUCUGUUUGAAUAAACACAAUCUCCUUUGCAGGAGAAGCACCUCGGAUGAUGCAAGCUUGUGUUCUAUGAAGAUGGCACUGUCUUAGUCAACUCGUGACUACAUGAUGAUCGAUUCUGUAAUGUUGAUUUUUAAAAAUGAGGCGCCAUUCAAAUAAACAUGGUCAAAAUAAGGCUCUUAGAUGGGCCAUGUUCAAAUCAUAUCCCCCAUUGCAAUAAAGCCUCCUGCACAGCAAA